rnacentral:rRNA from 1 species
GACGAACGCUGGCGGCGUGCUUAACACAUGCAAGUCGAACGAUGAAGCUGGAGCUUGCUCCGGUGGAUUAGUGGCGAACGGGUGAGUAACACGUGAGUAACCUGCCCUUGACUCUGGGAUAACUCCGAGAAAUCGGUGCUAAUACCGGAUAUGACCUUGGAAGGCAUCUUCUGAGGUGGAAAGUUUUUCGGUCAAGGAUGGACUCGCGGCCUAUCAGCUUGUUGGUGAGGUAAUGGCUCACCAAGGCAACGACGGGUAGCCGGCCUGAGAGGGUGACCGGCCACACUGGGACUGAGACACGGCCCAGACUCCUACGGGAGGCAGCAGUGGGAAUAUUGCACAAUGGGCGAAAGCCUGAUGCAGCAACGCCGCGUGGAGGACG